UUCCAGACUCCUACGGGAGGCAGCAGUGGGGAAUAUUGCACAAUGGGGGAAACCCUGAUGCAGCGACGCCGCGUGAGCGAUGAAGUAUUUCGGUAUGUAAAGCUCUAUCGGCAGGGAAGAAGAUGACGGUACCUGACUAAGAAGCCCCGGCUAACUACGUGCCAGCAGCCGCGGUAAUACGUAGGGGGCAAGCGUUAUCCGGAUUUACUGGGUGUAAAGGGAGCGUAGACGGCGAUGCAAGCCAGAUGUGAAAGCCCGGGGCUCAACCCCGGGACUGCAUUUGGAACUGUGUGGCUGGAGUGUCGGAGAGGCAGGCGGAAUUCCUAGUGUAGCGGUGAAAUGCGUAGAUAUUAGGAGGAACACCAGUGGCGAAGGCGGCCUGCUGGACGAUGACUGACGUUGAGGCUCGAAAGCGUGGGGAGCAAACAGGAUUAGAUACCCCGGUAGG
rnacentral:rRNA from 1 species